rnacentral:rRNA from 1 species
AAAGAAACCAGCCAGGAUUGUUUAGUAACGGCGAGUGAAGCGGCAACAGCUCAAAUUUGAAAUCUGGCUUCGGCCCGAGUUGUAAUUUGCAGAGGAAGCUUUAGGCGCGGCACCUUCUGAGUCCCCUGGAACGGGGCGCCACAGAGGGUGAGAGCCCCGUAUAGUUGGAUGCCUAGCCUGUGUAAAGCUCCUUCGACGAGUCGAGUAGUUUGGGAAUGCUGCUCAAAAUGGGAGGUAAAUUUCUUCUAAAGCUAAAUACCGGCCAGAGACCGAUAGCGCACAAGUAGAGUGAUCGAAAGAUGAAAAGCACUUUGAAAAGAGGGUUAAAUAGCACGUGAAAAUUGUUGAAAGGGAAGCGCUUGUGACCAGACUUGCGCCGGGCGGAUCAUCCGGUGUUCUCACCGGUGCACUCCGGCCGGCUCAGGCCAGCAUCGGUUCUCGCGGGGGGAUAAAGGCCCAGGGAACGUAGCUCCUACCGGGAGUGUUAGUAGCCCGUGGGUCGUAAUGCCCUUCGCGGGGACCGAGGACCGCAGCUUUUGAA